AGCUUUGCACAGUGGCAGUAUCGUAGCCAGUGAAGUUUUUCUGGGGCACAGUUAUUGCUAAUUAAAAAUUGCUAGUAUUUUGCUGCAAUUUUUCAUCUUCUCCAUCUUAUUAGAAAUGUUGGCCAAUAGUCAUCUUCCUUUGAGA
ensembl:snRNA U4 U4 spliceosomal RNA